rnacentral:rRNA from 1 species
UGGGGAAUAUUGGACAAUGGGGGAAACCCUGAUCCAGCCAUGCCGCGUGCGUGAAGAAGGCCUUAGGGUUGUAAAGCGCUUUCGGCGGGGAAGAUGAUGACGGUACCCGCAGAAGAAGCCCCGGCUAACUCCGUGCCAGCAGCCGCGGUAAUACGGAGGGGGCUAGCGUUGUUCGGAAUUACUGGGCGUAAAGGGCGCGUAGGCGGGCGAUCAAGUCAGAGGUGAAAGGCCUGGGCUCAACCUGGGAAUUGCGCUUGAAACUAGCGGGCUUGAGUGUGGCAGAGGGGGGUGGAAUUCCACGUGUAGCAGUGAAAUGCGUAGAGAUGUGGAGGAACACCGAUGGCGAAGGCAGCCCCCUGGGUCAACACUGACGCUCAUGCACGAAAGCGUGGGGAGCAAACAGGAUUAGAUACCCCAGUAGUCCCUGAGCGGGCUGGCAAGGCGCAU